rfam:TPA: Bos taurus chromosome 8, whole genome shotgun sequence.
UCCCUGGUGGCUCAGAGGUUAAAGCAUCUGCCUGCAAUGUGGGAGACCUGGGUUCGAUUCCUGGGUUGGGAA